rnacentral:lncRNA from 1 species
UUAAAUAAUUUAUGAAGGACAAACUACCUUUUCGUAGCAUACUUUGAAAUAGAUGUUCAUUUACUUGUAGGAAUGCUUCCACUUUCCUACAAAAAAUUGCAAAUGGUGAACUUUUUCUUAAAACUCAUUCUUUUAUAGUCACGGUUAGCUUACAUUUUACAUGAAAUGAUUUCAUUGAAGUCGUUGCCCUUAAUAUAUGAAGAGUGCUUUCGUCUUCCCCUAAAAAGCAUAGAGAUGGGAAAGUACCGUUCACGUCUUUUGUACUCUACGACACAGCACAUAAAAAUGCAAACUUCCUUGUAAACAAUCGAGGAAAAUACACAUUCUCAAAUGUUUAAUUAGUAGGUUAUCAUGAUUGGCAACAUGUUUUAGUUUUCGAUCAGUAAUGUGUAAAUCACUCUACUCUAUUAUACGUUACUCCCAUGCUGCAUGUAAUGCCUAUUAGUCUUGGUCGAUACUUUUAGGUUUCAUUUGGUACACUGGAUUAAGCCGCACAAGAAAAUACGCAUAAAAUUAGAGAUUGUACUAGAUGGAUAGUAGUAGGGUGGAUUAAGGUGGAUAAUAUUUACAAGUUUUUCAUUCAAAAGGAUGUCAAGUGCACUAUCUAUUCUAUACGGCAUGAACCAGUUCCUCACUCUGUAUUUAUUAUCCAGUUAGCUUAAGAAAGAUGGUGCAAUUAGCAUUCUUUUGAAUUAAAUAAUGAAAAUGCUAUCCACCGUGAUCCACCCUAUACAGUAUGUCUACUCUAAUUUUACACUUAGUGCCUUUUAAGGUCUAAUUCGAUGUACCAAACACAAGCUCAAGUGUUUUGGAUGGUGACAGCACGAAUUGGAUAACCCAUACUAUCAACUUGCACUUGAGAGCUGUACUGAAUUGACCACUUGUCUACUUUUUAUUGGCAACAUCAUCACAGAACAAGCUAUCACGAGUUCUCUGAUAAUCUUUUUUAACUUAGUGUUUUAAACCAUGUUCUGUAGGGAAUAAUGAUUGUUCUGCUGAUCAGUAGUGGUUCAUUUAUAUACUUCAGACGAAAGCGAAGCAGCAAGAUCCCUACCAAUUCUUGGUUUUAAGCUCGAAGUUAUCUUCCAUUCGGGAACAUAUUGUUAUCUUGGUUAUAUUGUAAUACCUAGUUUUGUAUCCUUGUUGUGAUUGAUUGGAUUGUAAUACAAAUUGUAGAAAAGUCAAGAACUAAGCUUCCAUUUGGCAAAUUUAUAAAGAAUAAUAUUAGUGGAUCCCUCGAAAUGUGAAUAGUAAUGAGUAAUAAUUACGAAUGUGUGGUUGAAAUCAAUUUUUGACUAUGUAUCCAAAAGGAGGCUAUAUUUAUAUUAACCAAGUAAUUUCCUUCUUUGUAAUUAUUCUAGGGUGUGUUUGUCAUCCAUUAUUUGGGAAGAAUGUAUUAUGGAAUAGUGAUUGAUGUUGAAAUGUGUGGUUAAAAAAAGAAGGAAAA